CCUCUGGCUUUUGCUGUCGAUGCUCAUGCUCGAUGUAUCCAGGCCAAGCUUUCACUCUUCCCCUGAGCUAUACCACAUUUUCCCUGACCCUUUUCCUGAGAGGCAAUGCCUGUCCAGGCCCUGCUCAGGCUCAAUCUGUCUGCCGCCAGCCUUGCCUCCCUGCUUCCCGGGGGCACCCUCCUGAGGACAGUUGCUACCAUCGGUGGUGAACCAUUGGUGUGUGCCAGCCUCUUCUCCAAAUGUUCUCCACGAAAUAACUUACAUGGCUCUUCACGCAACUCUAUUCAGGAGCAGGUAGGAUGCCAGGAUGGGACUCGCAUCUGCUCUGGUUGAUGAGGCGCUGUGAGGAUGGCAGGGAAUGUUCUUCCCUCAGGAGGUGAGGAGAAGGUCUCUCACUCCCACAGCUUCUUCUGGUACUUUCUGGUAGAUUAGCCCAAGACCCCUGCUUUCGAUGAGAAAACCGAAGCACAAAGGCGCUAAGUAAAUUGCGCACCCACACAUAGCUAAGAAGCGGCAGAGCUGGACGAAACCUCUGCACUCACCACUUCCGUGGCUGUGCUUUGUUUCACGAGGUGAGACAAAUCAGCUGAGGAAGUAGAACAUAGGCCCUAAUGACUAACAAGCCUAUGAAAAGCAAGUCCCGCUUCUGAUGGGGAAGCCUUAGGGGAGAAGGACCAGUGACUGGCAGACCCUCACUUGGGACAAGAACUAAUGCUGGGGUAAGACCCACCAGAAGAUUGAGUCCUGAGCACAGACACAACCCGGUGUUUGUUCUGAGAAGCUUCUGAACUAAGGCUGAGUCAGAAAAAGCCAAUGGAGAAGGCAAGAGAUACAGAGGAAACAGGGAUAACCAGCUGGCUGUGCAGAAAGCUGAAGAAGGAGUCCAGGGUGGCGGCAAUGGGCUGGGACACAGAGGGAGGAGCAGUGUCCUUGUUUUGUUACUGUUGUAACCCAAAUCAAGGAGGCCCCUUCAGGAAGUGACAGCCUCCAACCAUGUCCAAUCCUUCUGCUUAGAAAGGGAUUCUUCUUUACGUGACCCUGGUCAUGCAACUAGUGAUGGGGUAGGGAUGUGCUGCCUGGUAGCCUUUACCGCAAGCAAAGCCAUUUACAUUUGGAUCCCUCUACAUUUUCAGCUCCACUUCUCAACCUCCCUAACCACACAAUGGCAUCCAAACCAUGCCAUUCACUUCCCCUGGAAGCCUCCAUGCCUGUGGUGGUGCUAUAGCUUCUGCCUCCACCCCUUUUCAGCUCAACAAGCUCCCCGUCACAUUGCGAGUCCUUGCCCAAACUGCAGAUCCUCUAAGAAAUCUUUCUGCCCCUUAUUUGCGCCUUCCUCUGCUCUCUUUCAGAUUUUGCAUUUGUCUCCCUUGGUAACCUAAAAAGGGAAAUUCUUUACUUUUCAUCUCAGUGUUUGUUGAGUUCAUAGUAAGCACUUGGUAAAUAUUGAAGAAGUGAACAAACAAAUAAAUGUCCUUUGAAGGAAUGCAGAUGGAGCUGGAGGCCAUUAUCCUUAGCAAACUAAUGCAGGAAGAGAAAAUCAAAUAUUGCGUGUUCUCAUUUGUAAGUGGGAGCUAAAUAAUAAGAACACAUAAACACUUAGUGGGGAGCAAUAGACACAGGGGCCUACUAGAGGGUGGAGGGUGGGAGGAGGGAGAGGAUCCAGAAAAAUAACUAAUAGACACUAGGCUUAAUACCUGGGUGACAAAACAAUCUGCACAACGAAUCCCCAUGACAAGAGUGUGCCUACAUAACAAACCUGCACAGGUACCCCUGAACUUGAAAGUUUAAAAAAAAAAUUAAAAAACCACAAAUAAAUGUCUGAAAUGCUUUAAUUAGUUCUUGUCUUCACUGGUUUGCUUUUACUGCCUGGAACUAGCAAAGGGUUAGCAGAGCUAUGAAAUGACUGUGUCACUUGCCUGUUUGUCUGGAAUCCCUUCACCACCACGUAUUAGCUGUCUGGAGAAAUCACUUAACCUUUGAACCCCAUUGUGUUUCCUCCACUGUAAAUCAGGGCAUAUAGCCCCCAUCCUGCAGCAUCUUUGUGAAGAAUCAGUGGCUAAGGAAUGCUGUGUGCUGGGUUCCAUGCCGCCAUAUUCAGUAUCAGCCAGGAAGUGGUAGAUGGUGGUGGUGGUGGUGGUGGUGAUUUAAAAAAAGAGUCAGUCUGUUGCAUUAUUUUCCUUUGCAAAAAGGUUAUUUAUUGAAAAAGUGAUUGUUGUGGGUUGAAUUGUGUCUCCCAAAAAGAUACGUUGAGUCUUAACCCUCUGUACUGUUAACAUGACCUCAUUUGGAAAUAGGGUCCUUGUAGAUGUUAUCAGAUUAGGAUGGGAUUAUACUGGAUGAGAGUGGCUCCUAAUUUAAUAGUAUUGUUAUAAGAAGAAACAAUUUUGAACACAGAGACACAGACACAGGGAGAACACCAGAUGUUGAUGGGGGCAGAAACUGAAGGGACACAUCUAAAAGCUGAGACAUGGUGAAGAAUGCCACCAAUGGCCAGAAGCCAGGAAGAGAUGAGGAAGAAUCCUGUCCUAAAAUCAUCAGAGGGAGUGUGUCCCCGAUGAUGCCUCGAUUUCAGAACUUCUAGCCUCCAGAACUAUGAGACAACGCAUUUCUCUUCUUUCAAGCCAUAUAGUUUGUGGUCUCGUGUUACGGCAGACCCAGAAACUAAUAAUUCUGUGGACUUGUGCUUCUAAAUAGAAAAUACAAACUUAUAAAUCUUUCUCAUAAAUCAUCUGAGAAGUUAGAGGCAUCUAGGAUUAAGGAGGAAAAUCCUGGUCUAUAUGUUGAGAAAAGAGGAAAAGAAGCCAAAAGACUCCAAUACAACAUGUGGAAUUUAGCAAAAUCAACAUUUGAGAUACUUUUUCAACAAUCCCGUUUCUUAACUGAGAUUUUAUUGUUGGGUUCAUAAAUUAAUUUAACAAGCAUGUUUCACCUGCAGAGAGCCGGGGUGGCCACGCUGGGAAGAGUAUGGACUUUGGAGUUGCACAGGCUUGGGUUCAAUCCAGGCUUCCCCACUUAGCAGCCAGUGGUCUCAGGCAAGUUACUUGACCUACAUGAGCCUCAGCCUCCUUCCGUGCCCAUCUCCGGGUUUGCUGUGUGGAGUCAAUAGUUGAUAUUUGUGAUAAGUGCAGCAAAGCACUGCCUGUGGGUAUGAUGCAAUCUGCUCCCAAUGUAUAUAUCCAAAGGAAACAUCUGUCCUCAACAGAAAUCAGAGCAAUCCCCAACACUUAAAGAGCAGACAUUCAUGCAGGUGGAUGAAGCAGAACCAGAGACACUUGAGCUUGACUGAAAGAAGGAGAAAGUUGCAUCAUGCUUAGAGCAGGAGUUUUCAAGAGAAGUGUGAAAAAAACACAACCCUGACAUCCACCUUGGACAGAUAUAACAGGACACGUGUUUCUCAUGUGAAGAGAUUCUUUAUUUGAUUUUCAUCACCUUUCAAUGAAAGAGUGGGUCCUGUCAGCACUACGUAAAAUAUAUAUCUUAA
rnacentral:lncRNA from 10 species